UACAUGGUAUUUUAUUCCAUUCACACAACGUCCAAAAACAGCCAAAACCAAUCGAUGCUGUUAGAAAUGAGGAUUGUGCUGUCUAUGGCCAUACCACCCUGAACGCAUCCGAUCUCAUCUGAUCACAGAAGCUAAGCAGCGUCGGACCUGGCCAAAAUCAACAGCCAAUUUGGAUACUAUCAAGACACCUGAAACCUUAUCAUGAGCCAGAUGCUGAGGAAGAGACUCCGGGAGGAUCCUGAGGACCCCCCAGUUGCAGCCAUGUCAAGACUGACUCUGAGGAGGACUCCAACUGUCACAAGCAACACCUGUCGAACACAGCCACCCAUCUGGGGACAGAUCAAGAAGCUGUCACAGAUGGUGGAAGAAAACCUGAGGAAAGCGGGACAACCAGUCACAACGAGUAACUUUAUGUCUGCAGAUGUGGAUCCUGACUCCUGGGAGAAGCAGCUCACCAUGACAAAGCUGCCUUUGCUUUUAUCGAUUUGCAAAUCAGAGAGUGGUAAAG